CUAUAUAUGUAUUAGAGGACAGUGAGUGCUUAACAUGGCCACUGGCUACACCUAUGACACCACAAUGCUAAAUGACACCCUGUCCAGAGACAACCUGACCUCAUUAUAGCUUCAGAGAGAUUUUCAACCAAAGGAGCUACCAGAGGUGUCAGUCCUGAAAGGGCAUCUUGGAGUUUAAGGAAGCCUUGCUGAAAGACAUAGGCCAAGCCCUUAGAACUGCCUGAGAGGCACAGGCCCAAAGAAACCAACAGUGGGGAGUAAGGAGGAGGCUCCUCCUUGGACAUGAUCUCCAAGCUCACAUGCCUCAAAGUGUAUAGAAGUUUCUGCACCUGACAAAAGGCUUCUGGAGUCCCCCCAGAACUCCCCUCAGUUCUCAGGAUUACCAAGAAGAUGGAGAGACAAAGAUAGGCUGGACAUCACAGUGGGGGAAAGUGCUUUGAGAAAACACAGCAGGCUCACAAGCUUCAUUACAAAAUAUACAGGAGGAUGAAUCUUCCCCUAAAUAUUUGUUGUUUGCUGCACAGAUCUGACAUAAUUAAGAACUGCUAGAGGUAGUGAGGUUAUCUUUUCUGCCUGAAGAAGAUACCAAGAUCCUGCUAAGAUCUACCCAUUGUACAAUAGGAACUGUAUGUGUGUGUGUGUGUGUGUGUAUGUAUGUCCAUAGAUAGAGUUUAGCAGAAAGACUGAAAAUAGACCAGAAGUCAAUAGAUCUGGGAAUUAGUUGUGGCUCAAUCGCUUACCCAGCAAUGUGACCAGGAAGAGGUCAUGUAGCAUCUCUGAUCCUCAAUAUUUCAUCAAUGAAUAAGACUCAUAUUAUCUGUCAGCUUAUAAGAUUGUUGUGAGGACUAGUGAGAUAAUGUGCAUGAAAGUAUUUGCCCACCAAAACAUUGUUCCACCUAUGGCUGGUAUCAGAAUUCCUUAUGAUUCCUAAAUCAUGCCAAAAGUUUGCUGGCUGUUCUAUACUUUAAAUCCACAAAACCUUCAAAUCUAGAAUGCUUGCACACCACUGAAGACUCCAGAUAAGUAUUUUUGCAUAAUCAUAGUAAAAGUGAAGUAUCAAGAGGCUUCGGUUCUACUGUUGGAUCUGCAAGUGAAUAAAUAUGCAAGCCUGCAUGGGUCACCUCAACUAUGACAGCAUCAAUGUCCUCUCUGAUUUCUAGUAUAGUUCCCAGCUCCACUAUUGCUGUAGAGCACAGUAAGAAUUAACUGGUUAGAAUUUCGAACAAAAUGCUUUCUCCUACUUAUUUUAGAGAUAAUUAUUUACAUUUCAUACUCUUCUUCCUCCAACCUAUAAAGACCACUUAGGCAACUACUGUUUAGCUUCUCUUCCCCAACCUUUACCCUGUAUCUCUGAGGAGAAAAAGUGUCCAUGGAGCAGAACACUUGUUCUGCAGGAAAGUACAAUAAAAGAAAGAAUAAUUAAAUGAUAAAAACAAAAAUCAGCAUACAUGAGAAAGGAGGUUCUUCUGGGAUGGGGAGUAGGAUCAGAAGGUUGAGGCUACUGCAUAGUAGAAAUAACACUAAGAAUCUGUGUGGACUUCUUUAAAUGAGAGAAAUACAAAUGAAGAAGUUACUUAGGAGCCGAUUCUUUAAAUGUAGCCCUGUUCUUGACCAUGUGAGUCACAGCUUUACAAGCAUUACAUACCAAAUGCUAUGAGUUACUUCUUCAAACCUCACCAUUUGGCUAUGUGACAUUGAGAUGGUGACUUCAGUGCUUUGUUCUAAAAACAUAAAUUUCCUUUCUCAAGAGCUGGUGUAUGGGUAUGCUGCAUAAGUCUAAUGGUUGAUGUGUGCAGUAAUAUACCCAAAAUAAUAUACCCAGUUUGUCCAAAUGCGAUUGCCUCUUACAUUUUCAUGGAAAUAAUUUUGAGCACAAUGAUGACAAACACAAGGCCACUUAACCUAACAAAACCUAAUAUAUAUCAUUAUAGAAAUAUAUAUCAAAGGCUUAUAUACAACAAUUAUAGUAGCCCCAGAUACUGCGUGUCUGUAACUUAAGAAAUGAGUUAUAGUAAUCAAAAUAUUAAGACUAUUAAAAGACUCAAUGGGAUAUAAGAAAGCCAGUAUUACAGACAUGGAGCCAUCAUUUGGCACUACGUCCUUUUUUUAUUAUUAUUAUUAUUUUUAACAUCUAUUCAUUUUUGAGAGUGAAAGAGACAGAGCAUGAGUGGGGGGAGGGGCAGAGUGAGUGGGAGACACAGAAUCAGAA